UCAGAUCUAAAUAAGAUUGUUCUGAAUUUUGCUUAAGUGGCCUUUCUCUGUUUUUGUACUCAUCCUCCCCCCACCCUGCCCUGUCUUUUCUUCACCUCCUUUUUUUUUUUUUUUUUUUUUAUCAUUUUCAUCAAUUGAAGGAUAUGAGAAAAUCUUUUAAUGGGGAAGGCAAAAUGGCUUUUAGAAGUUAAGUAAAACAAAAUUAGGGAAAUAAAUGGUCAAAUAGAAGGAAAAGGGUGGGGGAUUACAAUUUUCUAGGAGCGUGCUGAAAUACCCUAGGGGGAGUAUUAGAUCUUCAAGAAAGUCUUAAAGAUCCAAUCUUUUUUCCAAGAUUCUUGAUUUUUCAUAAAGUUUCAUCAAAGUACUACAAUAUUAUUAGUGAUUGGUGAAAGAAAAGGAUCCAAGAUCCAUAAAAACAUCAAAAGUUGUAGGAGGUGCUUAGAGAUAACCUAGCUAUGUCCGAAUUAAGUGACCUAGCUAAGGCCAUGAAGGAUAUGAAUGCACGCCUAGAUGCACACCUAGAUGCUAUAACACUAAGUAUCCACAAGAAGGAUGCACAAGUAGAUGCUAUGGCAGACAUCAUCAACAAGAGACUAAACCCCAAUAGUGUGUCAUACAUAGGCGCACACUCAGAGGAGGAAAGGGAUGCAGCUGAAUCACGCCCACCAAGAUCCUCAUAUCCAGAUGAUAAAGGGUUAAAGCUUGAAGAUUACACAGGUGAGGGCAAACCUGAAGAUUUAUUAGAAUGGAUUCGCCAACUAGAGAAGAUAAGUGAGUAUAGAGGUUUUGAUGAUCGAAAAACUUUCAAAGUUGCUGCCAUAAGACUCACAAAGUAUGCUGGGAUUUGGCUUGAAGGCUUACAUGCACAAAGAGCUAAGAAAAACAAGCCUAAGCUAUGUAGUUGGGAGAAGCUAAAAGGGAAGCUCAAAGAUAAGUUUUUGCCAUACGAUUAUGAACAAAGGCAAUUCAUAAAGCUUACAUCAAUGAGCCAAGGUAGCCAAAGUGUACAUGAAUACACUAUGGAGUUUGAAAAACUAGGUCUUAUAUGUGAUAUAGUGGAGAAAGAUAAGCACAAGAUAGCAAGAUACAUUAAAGGAUUGAAUAGAAGCAUAGCUAAGAGGGUUGAAGUUUCUUCCUACCACACUUUUGAGGAAGUAACCAAGCUAGCUAUGAAGUUUGAAGAACAUGACAUGGAAGAGAAACCUAAGGGAGCAUACACACCUAGGUUUGAUUCUAAUGCAAAGGGCAAAGCAACCACUUCCUACACUAAGUGGUCCGAAACUAAUAAGCCUAGUUUUCCACCUAAGGAAGACACUAACAUGGAAAAGCCUAAGGUAGCCGUACCUAAGGAGAAGUUUGAGGAGCUAAGAAAGUGUUUUAAGUGUCAAGGGAGAGGACACAUAGCAAGUAAUUGUCCUACCAAGAAAGCUCUUACCAUGAGGCAAUACUUAGCUUUACAAGAGGAUGAAGAGAAGUAUGAAUUCAUCCCUGAAGAGGAGCAAAGCAUGGAGGAAGGUGAUAAAGAAGAGGAUGCUUUUGCAGAAGAUGAUUCAAGGCUUCUUGGAGUCAUUAGACGCACCUUACACAUGGAUCACACACCUAACAUGGCACAAAGGGAGAAUCUUUUCCAUACUAGAUGCAAAGUAGGUGAGUAUACUUGUAAUGUGAUAAUAGAUAGUGGUUCUUGCACUAAUGUUAUUGCAGAUCAUGUGGUGUCUAAACUCAAUCUAAUCACAAGGGCACACCCUAAACCCUACAAAUUGAGUUGGUUAGAUGAUAGCACUGGAAUGAGAGUGAAGAAACAAGCACUUAUAUCAUUCUCUAUUGGAAGCUAUAAGGAUGAUUUAUGGUGUGAUGUUUUACCUAUGAGUGCAUGCCAUCUUCUACUUGGAAGACCAUGGCAAUUUGAUAGGAAGGUUAUUCAUGAAGGGGACACUAAUGAAUAUUCUGUAUUGGUUGGUUCAAAAAGGGUUAGAUUACGUCCUCUAAACCCUAAUCAGGUGGCGCCUAAACAACCACCUAAGGCACCAAGUUACUUUCUAAAUGCUAAGGAGUUUGAGCAUGAAGUCGAAAAAGGAGGUUGUGCUUAUGCUUUGGUUGUGAAGCAGGUGAAUACAAGUAUUAUGGAUGCAAAGAAGAGAUUAGAAGCAUUCAACAAAACUUGUGAGCAAGUGAAAGCAAAGAUUGAAAAGAUGAAUAUCCAAUACAAGCCAAGAGCAAAUAAGAGGCGCAAACAACCUAGGUUUAAGGUUGGUGAUCUUGUUUGGAUACACUUAAGGAAAGAAAGGUUUCCAAAUAAAAGGAAAAACAAGCUUAUGCCUCGAGCUGAUGGACCAUUUGAGGUUGUUGGAGUAAUUGGAGAUAGUGCUUACAAGAUUGAUUUACCAGAUGAGUAUAGAAGUGUAAGUGCUACUUUCAAUGUGGGUGAUUUAUCUCCUUACUAUGAUGAUGAGAAUUUGAGGGCAAAUUCUUUUGUGGAGGGGGAGAAUGAUAUGGAUGCAAAGGCUUUGGUUAACCAUGAGCCUAUUGACUUGACCAUGGAGACUUUAGGGUUCCAAAACAAGAACAAGAACCAAGUCUUGGCUUGUGUGCUAACAUGGAAGCUGGAGAAAGAGGAGUCCUACUCUGAUUAGGAUUACUCAUGGCGUGGGGAAAGGAAGUAAAGAGGAGUCCUACUCUGAUUAGGAUUACUCCUAGCUUGCUACAUAGAAUCCUAGUAGAAUUAGGAUUGCUAUGUUUAUCUUUAUUGUUUUAUGUUUAAGUAGUUAAAAAGAUAGAGUUGUUAAAAAGAUAAACAUGUGACUUGUACAUGUUAUCUUUAGGAGUCUAAUUAGAAGUCCAAAGUAAAGUAGGAGUAGGAUAAUGUUAUGUUUUCCUAGUUGAAUUAGCUUAGCUUGUACCCUAUAUAAAGGGGACGAAUUCCUUCAAUAAAUUUAGAGUUUUUAGAGUAUUUUUCCUUCUUCUUUAAUUGUGUGCUUGUAUGCUUACAAUUGAAAGCCAUUAAUAACUUUUCAGGAGUGAUUAGUUCUUAGUGUUAAACAACUUAAUUUCAGGAGUGAUUUUAAGGGUGUUUAGAGUCUUUAUUCAAGGUUCAGGAGUGUUCUUGAAUAAAUUCAUAUCUUGGUUCGAGUUUCUAGGUACUUGUUCGAAAUCUUGGAAGUCAUAAACUUGAUUAUUAGCUUUCAAAGUUCAAUAAUCAUAUCAAUAGCACUCUUUGAAACUGCUACUACAUUGGUAUCAGAGCCAAUCUGUAGCCGACUCUUAUUCAAACGCCAUUGUUAAGCUCUUUAGCGCAAAGGUAUUUGUUAUAAAGUCUGAGUGAAAACUCACACAAAUUUUCCUUGACAAUUGUGACUGAAAACUGGAAUUCUGGCACCUGGGACGAGGAAGUUAGCUGCUGCCAUGGAAGAUCAAUAAUUAGCUUCAAGCAAGCAGAUUGAAGCACAACCGACCUAGAUUAAACAAUUUGAAGAAUUAAUGAUGUCUAUGAUGCAAUCCUUCUCUGAGAUGAAUGAGAGGUUAAAGGAAGCAGAAUCAAGAAGGGAUAUGAGGGAGGAACACCCAGAUAUUCAGAAUCCAAUUUCAAUCGGGUUCAAGGGUAGGAGGCUCUGAGGAAGCCUACCUGGCAGCAGAAUCAUUGUUUCUUUCCAUGGGCAGAGACUCGAUUUAUUGUGGUGGAGCGGGAAAUGGUUCAGUAGCAAAGAUUUGCAACAAUCUGGCUAUGGCUAUUAGCAUGAU